GAGGAGACAAGCUGAGAAGAGAGGAGAGAACAGGAGAGGGACAGAAUGACGUUGUGUGUUGAAGUACAAUUGUGUUUUGGCUCCAAUGGCCUUGAAAAAGUUUUUUUCAGUUUUGUUACAAACCCAUCAUGCCAUCUGCAGGGAACUGGUUAAAUGGACUUGGCACAUCCACACAAAGGAGUAUUUUGCAACCUUAGAAAGAGAGGAAUGUUUACAACUACUUAUAGAAGGUGAUUUCCAGAACGAAUUAUUAAUUAUAAAAAGUACAGCAAAUGGCAGUGCUUUUUACAGUAAUUAAAUUCAAUUUCCCUCUGAAGGUCAACUUUUGCCACUGCUAUUCUUGAAUUCUAUAAUCCCCUUUAAUAUCAUGGAGCUCAAUUCCCUGGAAAAUAUCCCUCUAUGCUUGCCUCGUGUAGGUUAUGAGAAUGCCUAGCAAGAUGCAUAUGUAACAGAGAAGUACGAAACCACCUUAUUGAAAUUUCUAUGGUUCCAAUAGUCAGGAAUAGUGGUUCUCAAACUUCUUCAUAUGAGGAAGCAUUUAUACACUCUUAAAAUUGUUGAGUAUCCAAAAGAACUUUGUUCAUGUGGGUUACAUCCAUUAAUAUUUACCAUAUGGUAAAUUAAA